UCCGGGGUAGCUCAGUUGGCAGAGCGUUCGACUGUUAAUCGAAAUGUCGUGGGUUCGAGCCCCACCCCCGGAG
rnacentral:tRNA from 1 species